rnacentral:rRNA from 1 species
UACGUAGGGGGGCAAGCGUUGUCCGGAAUUAUUGGGCGUAAAGAGCGCGUAGGCGGUCCGAUAAGUCGGCUGUGAAAGUCAGGGGCUCAACCCUUGAAAGCCGGCCGAUACUGUCGGACUAGAGUCCGGAAGAGGCAAGUGGAAUUCCCGGUGGUAGCGGUGAAAUGCGCAGAUAUCAGGAGGAACACCAGCGGCGAAGGCGGCGCUCUGGGCCGGAACUGACGCUGAGGAGCGAAAGCGUGGGGAGCAAACAGG